rnacentral:rRNA from 1 species
AUUGAACGCUGGCGGCAGGCCUAACACAUGCCAGUCGAGCGGAUGAAGGGAGCUUGCUCCUGGAUUCAGCGGCGGACGGGUGAGUAAUGCCUAGGAAUCUGCCUGGUAGUGGGGAUAACGUCCGGAAACGGGCGCUAAUACCGCAUACGUCCUGAGGGAGAAAGUGGGGGAUCUUCGGACCUCACGCUAUCAGAUGAGCCUAGGUCGGAUUAGCUAGUUGGUGGGGUAAAGGCCUACCAAGGCGACGAUCCGUAACUGGUCUGAGAGGAUGAUCAGUCACACUGGAACUGAGACACGGUCCAGACUCCUACGGGAGGCAGCAGUGGGGAAUAUUGGACGAUGGGCGAAAGCCUGAUCCAGCCAUGCCGCGUGUGUGAAGAAGGUCUUCGGAUUGUAAAGCACUUUAAGUUGGGAGGAAGGGCAGUAAGUUAAUACCUUGCUGUUUUGACGUUACCAACAGAAUAAGCACCGGCUAACUUCGUG